GACGAACGCUGGCGGCGUGCCUAAUACAUGCAAGUCGAACGCAGUGGGGACGGGUGAGUAACACGUGGGUAACCUCCCAUCAGAGGGGAUAACACUUGGAAACAGGUGCUAAACCGAUACUGAUGGAUGGACCCGCGGUGCAUUAGCUAGUUGGUGAGGUAACGGCUCACCAAGGACAGGCUGCAUAGCCGACCUGAGAGGGUCAUCGGCCACGCUGGGUCUGAGACACGGCCCAGACUCCUACGGGAGGCAGCAGUAGGAAAUUUUCGGCAAUGGCCGAAAGUCUGACCAGGAACCGCCGCGUGAGUAAAGGAGGUUUUCGGAUCGUAAAUCUCUGUUGUUAGGGAAGCGAUCUCUAACCAGAAAGCCACGGCUACCUACGUGCCAGCCGCCGCGGUAAUAC
rnacentral:rRNA from 1 species